rnacentral:lncRNA from 1 species
AAUUGGCAACCUAAAGUUAUAAGUUAGAUGUAUUUUGCUUUUCAAGCCAUCUUCUGAGCCUUUUUUAGGCUGAAAUGAUUUGUUUAUUUCCCAAAUUAUUGCUAGCUACUUGAUUUUUUAUGGCUACCUAACAUCCACAUUUGGUAGAUACUUUUCCUCUCUGCAUGCAUCCCAAAGAAGAAUUUGCUAUUUGUGGAAGAAGAGAAUAAGGGUAUCAGAAUGAAGGAAAUUACAGUGACUACACUGUUUAUGACUCCAUUUUGUGAAUUCUUAAAUAUGCUAUGGAUUUUUUUUUAGAAAAAAUAAUGCAAAAAUUGGGAUAUUACAGAAUCACCAUAAAGAUGAUCAACAAGUAAUAAGUCUUUUCAUGGAGUUCAUUUUUCUUUUAAAUUCAUGAUUUGGCCACAAAAAUAUAUAUAUAAGUGUCUGAUAUAUGAUAACAGCCCAGUUUCUCGGCCACUCAUUUGCAUUAUCUUAAAUCACAAAUAAUUACUUAAUUUGCUGGAGUGUGUGCUUUGCAACUUUUGUACCAGAGCAAAAUUUGUAUUUAAAACAAAAAAUAAGAAUGCCCAUCACUAGGAGAAACACUCCUCACAGAAAACACACACACACACACACACACAAUUUAAAAACUGAGUAAAUUUAAAUGUAUGAAAGUACCCCACAAAUUGAUUUCAACAAAUAAAUUUCAUUUCUCUAGCUACUUAUGUCUGGCCUUAUUUUGAGCGUUACAAUUUUAUUGCCUUCAUUUGCCUAUUUAGACUGAUGUAGUUUGAUAUGAUGAAGUUGUGAAUAAAAGCCUUGUGUUCAUUAUUUAUAUAUACUACCUGGUAUGCUAUGGACUGUGUCUGCUGUAGUGCUAUUCCCUAAUGAGCAACUAAGAGAAGACACAACAAUAAACCAUGGAAGUGUUGGGAGGCCAUGGAAAUGAUUUAGAGGUAUAAAAUAUUCCCAAGUUUUUAUUAUAAAUUUUUAUUCAUAGGUUAAAACAUAUAAGCAUAAGUGAUUGUACAGGUGUGACUCCCUUUUCUAGGAGAGAAAAUAGCUUUAUUUGAAAACUCCAAAAGCUACUUAAUCUUACCAGAGGUUUUUAAUAGGGGAACUGGGUUUACUUACAAUGAAAGCAUAUUUUCAUUCUGCUAUAGAAAAACAUAUCCCUGCUCAUUCAGUAAAUCUAAGAUUGGAAUGCUUUCUAGAACUAUGCAAUAUUUGAAUAAUUUCUAGAAAUGUCUAAGAAACAACCUUUUUUAUUUUAAAUCAUCACUUACAAACGUAGUCUGAGACUGCAAACUAGUUUUCACUUGACUAAUCCAUCAUUAUAGAUUAGUUACCAUUUGCUCUAUAUAAUCUAUUGAAGAAACUAUUGUUAUUCAUAUUUUGAUUAAUUUUACUAGCAACAAAUUUUUAUUUUAGUAGCAUUGCAUUUACCUUAAAUAUGUAAAAAUGAAGUUGUAACAGGAUCAAAUAUGGAAAUGGCAAUGGUAACUCUGCCUAGAACAUAGUUGAAUGUCCUUGGUUGUCGGUAAGAUGCAAAGAUCUAUACAAAUUUUAUCAUAGGUCAAAAUUAUUUCUAAAUAUACAAACAGUUUCAACUAUUUCUUUCUCCCUAAAACUAAAACCAAACCAAACCCAAAUGAAGAAACCUAAACUUCUUUUCAUCUAAUAGUUAUACCCAACUAGAUAAUAGUAGCUUCUAGACAUCAAUAAAAAGAUUUCAUUUUAACUGUCUUUUUAAUUUGUAAAAUAUAUGAGUAUGGAAUUUUGUAUCUAACUUGAAAUUUCAGAUGUUUUAAUAAUCCAAAUACGUUCUUCUUUAGCAUGUCAAAGUACUAAUAGUUAAAAAAUUUCUUUAGAUUUAAGCAUAUACAUUACUUGACUUUUUCAAAAGUAUCAAAAAAUUGAUAGCUGCAGAAAUGCCAUUAUUUGAUUUUCUAAAAAACAUUGAUUCAUUCUUAAAUGUGUAUUCUUUAAAAAAUAGUAAAUACCUCAAGAGUGACAGAAAACUUUCCUUUUCUGUUCUGUAAUGCUAAUUUAAACUUUGAGUCUUAGUUUACAUGGUCAUAGGGGUUAAAUAAAAUGUAUAACUGUACAAUUAAUUGUGUUCUUGUGACCUGAUGAUUUUUUGAAAAUUUGCUUUUCUCUUUAAGAAAUUUAAGUUUUCAAGGGCCGUAUUAGUUAUCUAAAUAUUUUGGGCUAAUGUUGACUUAUAAAUAAAUAAAAAUUUAGAAAUAUAUUCAUGAUGACAAUUUUGUUACUUACACUGCCUAUUCUUUAUUUCUUUUUUAGUUCAAAGGUGAAAUUUUGACCUUUGUAUUAACAAAGCCUCAAGAAAAGAGAAAUUCUGCCUUUUAAACAUUGGUUUUCCUUGCAUUUUAUGGUGGUGUGAUUUUGCCUCAGCAAUAAUAAAACAUAAAAUAUGUUGUUGCAUCAA